AAUGAAGUGCCUGAAAAAAAGGAGUAUCUUGAUAGGGUAAAUUAUGUGAAAUUACACCUUCAUUA
rnacentral:tRNA from 1 species